rnacentral:rRNA from 1 species
CCUACGGGAGGCAGCAGUGGGGAAUCUUGCGCAAUGGGCGAAAGCCUGACGCAGCAACGCCGCGUGCGGGAAGAAGGCUUUCGGGCUGUAAACCGCUUUCAGCAGGAACGAAAAUGACGGUACCUGCAGAAGAAGGAGCGGCCAACUAUGUGCCAGCAGCCGCGGUGAUACAUAGGCUUCAAGCGUUGUCCGGAUUUAUUGGGCGUAAAGAGUUCGUAGGCGGUCGAGUAAGUCGGGUGUGAAAAUUCUGGGCUCAACCCAGAGACGCCACCCGAUACUGCUUAACUUGAGUUCGAUAGGGGAGUGGGGAAUUCCUAGUGUAGCGGUGAAAUGCGCAGAUAUUAGGAGGAACACCGGUGGCGAAGGCGCCACUCUGGAUCGAUACUGACGCUGAGGGACGAAAGCAUGGGUAGCAAACAGGAUUAGAUACCCUGGUAGUCCAUGCCGUAAACGGUGGGCACUAGGUGUGGGAUUCUAUUAACGAAUUCCGCGCCGUCGCUAACGCAUUAAGUGCCCCGCCUGGGGAGUACGGUCGCAAAGACUAAAACUCAAAGGAAUUGACGG